rnacentral:rRNA from 1 species
UACGGAGGGGGCUAGCGUUGUUCGGAAUUACUGGGCGUAAAGCGCACGUAGGCGGCUUUGUAAGUUAGAGGUGAAAGCCCGGGGCUCAACUCCGGAAUUGCCUUUAAGACUGCAUCGCUAGAAUUGUGGAGAGGUAAGUGGAAUUCCGAGUGUAGAGGUGAAAUUCGUAGAUAUUCGGAAGAACACCAGUGGCGAAGGCGACUUACUGGACACAUAUUGACGCUGAGGUACGAAAGCGUGGGGAGCAAACAGG